rnacentral:lncRNA from 10 species
GGGGAAGACACAGCCUGCUCUCCAAGUGGCAGUCUGAGAGGGACACUGAUGGAUGGGGGGCACAUUCCAGGGCAUCACGUCUGACUGGGUAACGUAGUCUGAUGGGAGAGGCAGGAUGCCUAAGUGUGCCCAGGAAAACAACUCUGGUGAUCCAAGGCCGCAGAGGGUCAGGUCUAUCUUCUGGGGCAUGUACUAAGUACUGAGGUGGGUUGGGGACGAGGAUGCAGAGAGUAAGUCAGAGAAGGCUUCGUGGUGGAAGUGAAGCUUAGGGCCAGAGCGCCUCCCCCAGCCAUGCUGCUGGGUCAGGGCAUGGAAGAGGACAACAGGGCUCACCCCUCUUUCUUCUCCCAAUCCUCUCCCGCAGUGUCCCACAGGCCAAGCCUCUGAUGAGGUAAACCCAAGGCUGGAGAUCCUUUCAGAAGAGAGCUCCUGUGGGCUUUGGAAGAGGGGACCCGGGUUGGCCUGGAAGAAGGGUGGGAUGGGCCACUGAGAGUGGCUGGAGCAAUAAACAGAAUGAGGUUGCUGUGAAGGUUCCGGAUCCUUUGCCGGCUCUGCCCCGUCCCACCCCUUCCCAAACACCGUCUCCACCCCUCCCCUCCCCGGCAGAACCCAGUCUUCUCUGUGCAGUGGGUACAGUACCCACCCAUGCCCCCUCCCAUGCCCAGCAGUCUGGCUGGGGUGCUCUGUCCUUGGCCUCUCCACCCCCACCGUCAUCCCCAUGCAAACCUCAAAGAGGCUGACUUGGCGUAGCAUUUGCCUGCACUUACCUGUGGCUCUUCUGUUUGGAGCCAGCCAGAAACUCCUGAGUUUGGUUCCAAGGUGCUCUACCCCUCCUGCCUGCGGGAGGACUAGGUUCCUCAAUCCUUCUCCUGAGGUCAGGCUGGGACUAGAGUGAGGCAAGCAAGGUGCCUAGGGCAAAAUUUUAAGGAGGCUUGCCCUCCCAGGUGCACCUGAAUGGCCCUGAGGGCCAGUGCCCCCUUAAAUUGUGGGCCCUUAGGUGCCUCCUUGCUUUACCCACCAUGCCCCCAGCCAGCCCUGACCCUGCUGGGUGUUCUGGCCUCGAGAGUCUGAAAUCUUAUAAAAUAUGCCCUAAAAGCUGGUAGUCCGGAGUCCUUGGGCUGGCCUGGGCAGCCAGGUGCCUGUCCUCCCCAUCUCCUGCCCUUAGCCCUUUUGGGAGAGGAAGCCAGAAGUGCUGAAGCCUGGGGCGGCUGGGACUGCGAGAUCGGUAUAAGGAUGGGGGACCUCCACCCUCAAGGAACUGAAAACCAUGUGGAAGGAACAGAAUGGUCUGCCCGCAGGGGAAACCAAGCAAACCAGGCCUUUGAUUGGGACCAAAGACAGAUGUGAAACCCAGGACUCUGAGCUGACCUUGACUCCACCGAGCUCUGCCCUGGGGAUCACCGGGCACCUCCAAGAGAGAUCUGAAUGGCUCUGGGAGAUGCCAGGCUGAAACAGGGGACUUAGGUCCCAGGUCUCUGAUGGAAAUUAGCUGUGGAAGGGGACAGGUGUGAGCACCAGGAAAGAUAAGGCAGUAAGGGACCCUGCCUGUGUGUGUCAGGAGCAGGGAUCUGAGAGGGGUCUCCCACAUCUCCAUGCCCAGGCCUCAGUACUUGGGGGGGUCCCUGGGGCAACCCUCCCCCUAUCUCGGCCACUGGGGCUGGGGCCUGUGCCCUGGGUCCUCUCUGCAGGUAGCAUGGUCAUGCCAGAGCCCUUGGGCAUCCUUUCAAAACUUACCUUGAGCCAGGAGCCUCCCUGUUGAGAUCUUUGUCUAAUUGGGUCUUGGGGUGUCCCUUGGAGAGGUACCAUAAGCCGAGAUAGCCGCUCUCUAAGGGGCGAGGGGAGUUAGGGUUGGGCGUGUGUCAGGUGAGACACAUGGAAUAACAGGAGCCUUUCAUUACUCACAGAUCCAUGAGAGAAGCCAGCGCCGAUGAGGGCCAACAGGAAUCCCGGAGACAGCAGGGUGUUCAAGUAGCAGGUAGAGAGUGAGAGAGAGAGGGGACCUGUGGGACCAAGGCCUUUAUGGGGUCCAGGGCGUCACCCAGGCAGGUUUCCUGAGGGGAGUAAUAAUUGGGUUUAGG